CGUUAAUGGGUGAUAGCGUGCCUUUUGUAGAAUGAACCGGCGAGUUACGAUUUGUUGCAAGGUUAAGCGGAAAAAGCGGAGCCGUAGCGAAAGCGAGUCUGAAUAGGGCGCAUAAGUAACAGGUCGUAGACCCGAAACCAGGUGAUCUACCCAUGUCCAGGAUGAAGGUAAGGUAAUACUUACUGGAGGUCCGAACCCACGCACGUUGAAAAGUGCGGGGAUGAGGUGUGGGUAGCGGAGAAAUUCCAAUCGAACUUGGAGAUAGCUGGUUCUCUCCGAAAUAGCUUUAGGGCUAGCCUCGAGGUAAAGAGUCAUGGAGGUAGAGCACUGUUUGGACUAGGGGCCCUUCUCGGGUUACCGAAUUCAGAUAAACUCCGAAUGCCAUGUACUUAUACUCGGGAGUCAGACUGCGAGUGAUAAGAUCCGUAGUCGAAAGGGAAACAGCCCAGACCACCAGUUAAGGUCCCCAAAUAUAUGUUAAGUGGAAAAGGAUGUGGGGUUGCUUAGACAACCAGGAUGUUGGCUUAGAAGCAGCCACCAUUGAAAGAGUGCGUAAUAGCUCACUGGUCGAGUGACCCCGCGCCGAAAAUGUACCGGGGCUAAACAUAUUACCGAAACUGUGGAUGAACCUCUUUAGAGGUUCGUGGUAGGAGAGCGUUCUAAGGGCGGUGAAGUCAGACCGGAAGGACUGGUGGAGCGCUUAGAAGUGAGAAUGCCGGUAUGAGUAGCGAAAGAAGGGUGAGAAUCCCUUCCACCGAAUAUCUAAGGUUUCCUGAGGAAGGCUCGUCCGCUCAGGGUUAGUCGGGACCUAAGCCGAGGCCGAUAGGCGUAGGCGAUGGACAACAGGUAGAGAUUCCUGUACCAGUGCUAAUUGUUUAACCGAUGGGGUGACACAGAAGGAUAGGGAAUCGCACGAAUGGAAAUGUGCGUCCAAGCAGUGAGUGUGAGAAGUAGGCAAAUCCGCUUCUCGCGAAGCAUGAGCUGUGAUGGGGAAGGAAAUUAAGUACGGAAGUUCCUGAUUUCACGCUGUCAAGAAAAGCCUCUAGGAAGAGUAGUACUGCCCGUACCGCAAACCGACACAGGUAGAUGAGGAGAGAAUCCUAAGGUGAGCGAGAGAACUCUCGUUAAGGAACUCGGCAAAAUGACCCCGUAACUUCGGGAGAAGGGGUGCUCUAUUAGGGUGCAAGCCCGAGAGAGCCGCAGUGAAUAGGCCCAGGCGACUGUUUAGCAAAAACACAGGUCUCUGCAAAACCGUAAGGUGACGUAUAGGGGCUGACGCCUGCCCGGUGCUGGAAGGUUAAGAGGAGUGCUUAGCUUCGGCGAAGGUACGAAUUGAAGCCCCAGUAAACGGCGGCCGUAACUAUAACGGUCCUAAGGUAGCGAAAUUCCUUGUCGGGUAAGUUCCGACCCGCACGAAAGGCGCAACGAUCUGGGCACUGUCUCAACGAGAGACUCGGUGAAAUUAUAGUACCUGUGAAGAUGCAGGUUACCCGCGACAGGACGGAAAGACCCCGUGGAGCUUUACUGCAACCUGAUAUGGAAUGUUUGUACCGCUUGUACAGGAUAGGUAGGAGCCGAAGAGACGUGUGCGCUAGCAUACGAGGAGGCAAUGGUGGGAUACUACCCUGGCUGUAUGACCAUUCUAACCCGCCACGCUUAGCGCGUGGGGAGACAGUGUCAGGUGGGCAGUUUGACUGGGGCGGUCGCCUCCUAAAGAGUAACGGAGGCGCCCAAAGGUUCCCUCAGAAUGGAUGGAAAUCAUUCGCAGAGUGUAAAGGCACAAGGGAGCUUGACUGCGAGACUGACAAGUCGAGCAGGGACGAAAGUCGGGCUUAGUGAUCCGGUGGUUCCGCAUGGAAGGGCCAUCGCUCAACGGAUAAAAGCUACCCCGGGGAUAACAGGCUUAUCUCCCCCAAGAGUCCACAUCGACGGGGAGGUUUGGCACCUCGAUGUCGGCUCGUCGCAUCCUGGGGCUGUAGUCGGUCCCAAGGGUUGGGCUGUUCGCCCAUUAAAGCGGCACGCGAGCUGGGUUCAGAACGUCGUGAGACAGUUCGGUCCCUAUCCGUCGCGGGCGCAGGAAAUUUGAGAGGAGCUGUCCUUAGUACGAGAGGACCGGGAUGGACACACCGCUGGUGUACCAGUUGUUCCGCCAGGAGCAUCGCUGGGUAGCUAUGUGUGGCAGGGAUAAACGCUGAAAGCAUCUAAGCGUGAAGCCCCCCUCAAGAUGAGAUUUCCCAUUUCUUCGGAAAGUAAGAUCCCUGAAAGAUGAUCAGGUAGAUAGGUUUGGAGUGGAAGUGUAGCGAUACAUGGAGCGGACAAAUACUAAUCGAUCGAGGACUUAACCAAAA
rnacentral:rRNA from 1 species